UACGUAGGUGGCAAGCGUUGUCCGGAGUUACUGGGUGUAAAGGGCGUGUAGGCGGGAAGAUAAGUCAGAUGUGAAAUUCCAUGGCUCAACUGUGGCGCUGCAUCUGAAACUAUUUUUCUUGAGUGAUGGAGAGGAAAGUGGAAUUCCUAGUGUAGCGGUGAAAUGCGUAGAUAUUAGGAGGAACACCAGUGGCGAAGGCGACUUUCUGGACAUUAACUGACGCUGAGGCGCGAAAGCGUGGGGAGCAAACAGGAUUAGAUACCCUGGUAGUCCACGCUGUAAACGAUGGAUACUAGGUGUAGGAGGUAUCGACCCCUCCUGUGCCGCAGUUAACACAAUAAGUAUCCCACCUGGGGAGUACGGCCGCAAGGUUGAA
rnacentral:rRNA from 1 species